rnacentral:rRNA from 1 species
GUCCGCCAGAAAAUUACGAGCGAAAGCCUAAAACUCAAAAGACUUGACGGUGCCCCAACCUUCCUAGAGGAGCCUGUUCCAUAAUCGACACCCCACGAUAUACCUAACCACCCUUAGUAAUUUUUCAGCCUAUAUACCGCCGUCGUACAGCCUACCUUUUAAAAGAAUACAAGUAGGCCAAAUAGUAAUAUACUAACAAGUCAGGUCAAGGUGUAGCUUAUACGGUGGAGGAAAUGGGCUACAUUGUUUAUACUAAACGAUACGAACUUUAUACCUAUGAAAAAAGAAAAUGAAGGCGGAUUUAGCAGUAAUUUAAACAAGAAUAUUUAAAUUAA